rnacentral:tRNA from 1 species
GUUGUGGCUCAGUGGCAGAGGGCUCGCCUAGCACGUGCGAGGCCCUGGGUUCAAUCCUCAGCACCACA